rnacentral:tRNA from 1 species
GGCACCAUAGUGUAGUGGUUAGCAUGUCUGCUUUACAUGCAGAAGGUCCUGGGUUCGUGCCCCAGGUGGAGCCA